GGGCGCUUGGCGCAAUGGUAGCGCGCUUCCAUGGCAUGGAAGAGGUUGGGGGUUCAAGUCCCCCAGCGUCCA
rnacentral:tRNA from 1 species